rnacentral:tRNA from 1 species
UUAGGGAGACCUACCCACUCUUAAGCUGAACGCAUUUUGUAAUUAAGCAAGAGUUGGUCAUCCCAAGGUCGUUGGGGUUUAGGUGUUGGCUUUCAAACUAUUCAGGUUCGGUUUUAUGGGCUAUUAGCUCAGGUGGUUAGAGCGCACCCCUGAUAAGGGUGAGGUCCCUGGUUCGAGUCCAGGAUGGCCCACCUUAGAAAGAAAGAAGAAAAAAGAGAAAAGAAAGGAUUUUCCCUUUUGUUUUUCAUUUUUCAUCUUUUAUCUUUCUUGUCUGGGGGUUUAGCUCAGUUGGUAGAGCGCCUGCUUUGCAAGCAGGAUGUCAGCGGUUCAAGUCCGCUAACCUCCACUGGUUAAUAGCGAAUCUCGUUAUUAGCCGAAUUGAAGAGGCUUCAGCAACUUAUCUAACUAGUUAUUGAGUUAGAGAGCCUGCUGGAGUGAGUCCAGUCAGAACCUUGAAAACUGCAUAGUACUUGUCAGGUAGAAGCCGAGGCAAUAGGCAAUAGGCAAUAGGCAACCGGAGUUAAUCCCAGCGCCCAGCGCCCAGCGCCCAGCGCCCAGGCAUCACAGACACCAAUGUGCAACUUGAGAAAGUUGUUGUAAGU